GUCCUGAUCCAGUUCAUAAGCAUGGAAACUGGGUUCUCAGACACUUGUGUGACAGGUCCCUUCCUCAAACCAUGUUACGAUAUGGACACAUUGCCUGCCUAAUU